rnacentral:rRNA from 1 species
AACCUGGUUGAUCUUGCCAGUAGUCAUAUGCUUGUCUCAAAGAUUAAGCCAUGCAAGUGAAAGUAUAUGCAUAUUUUAUAUGUAGAAACUGCGAACGGCUCAUUAAAACAGUUAUAAUCUACUUGACAUUUUAUUAUAAGGAUAACUACGGAAAAGCUGUAGCUAAUACUUGCUUUAAAUGCUUUUACUCCCCGCAUCAAGUUGAAAUUUUUUAUAAUUAAUUUUAUAAAAGAUAUCAUAAGCCUAUAUAUAAAAUAUAGAAUAAAAUAUUAUUUAUUAUUGCUAUUGUUAUUUUUUAUUAUUUUUAUGUAGUAUUACAUAAAGGUAUAAGAAAAUAAUAAAAAUAAUAAAUGUAUUUUAGUAUAUAUUUUGAUAUAUAUAGUAACCUGGUUGAUCUUGCCAGUAGUCAUAUGCUUGUCUCAAAGAUUAAGCC